UCUCAGCCCUCACAUACCACGAGAUGAGUGUCGGCAUAGACAGACAUUGCAGCAAGAGGGAGGGCUGGACAAAGCAGCGGGCAGGGCGGCUAAAUGGAUGCCUAGACCGACUUGCAGCAGGAACUUGAGCUAGCUAUUCCAGUCACUACACCCACAACAUCCAGUCACAACCCCGCCCACUCACAACACCCACUUGCUCAGAGCAGUUCUACAAAGUGACUCCCUGGGACUCAUUUCCUGGCUGUCUUAGGCUACCCCGUAGUUGCUGCGGGUACCAAAGAGGCUCCUAGUUCAGGAGAAGGAGCUGGAAAAUUUGCCCCAGGGGGAGAAGUAAAUCUACCUGUGAGGGGGUGGAACCUUUUGUACUGAACGGGGAACACCCGGCUAUAAAGCUUCUUUGCUGAGGGACAAUGGAGAGACCCUGGCUGUUCUCACGCCUGCUGCUACUGCUGGUGAACAUUCCCUGGGGGAGCUGCCAGGCCGAGGUGCACCAGAACCUGUCUGCGGUCACUCGGGAAGGGCAGAACGGCAGCAUCACUUGCCACUACACAACGAGCAAUUUAUGGAGUUUGUGGUGGUUCAGGCAGCUUCCCGGAGGCCAGCCUGUCUCCCUGCUGAUUCUGGUGUCCGAUGGGAAACAAACCAAGGAGCCCAACCUCACCGCGGAGCUCGACAAGGGGCAGCAGCUGAGCUCCCUGCACAUCAGAGAUUCACAGCUGGGAGAUGCAGCCACCUACUUCUGCGCCGUGGAGACACAGUGACACUGGAGCACUGGCAGCCUGUGCAAAAACUCCCCAGCUGGAGGGGUAACUGUCAGGCUGGCAAGCGGUACAACACCACCACCUACUUCUUACAUAGUGCAUCUCUGAGCGUGCUUCACCUUCCUUAACACGGUCAGCCCCCCAUCACCCUGGUGAGACAGGGAAGUGCAAGGAUCCCCACCGCACAGGUCGAGAGCUGAGACAGAGAGGCUGAGGAGGAAAUGCACUUGGGGAAUACCUCCUAGGGAAAGACCCCCAAGGGAGUGGCUCUCAAUCUUUCCAGACUAGUGUUCUCCUUUCAGGAGUCGGAUUUGUCUGGGUACCCCCAAGUUUCACCUCACUUAAAAACUACUUGUUUACAAAAUCAGACCUAAAAAUACA